GUACGCCCACUCCGCAGGUAUGCGCGGGAUAGCCGCGAGACUAGCCAAGGAACGGUCCUGGCCAGGCGACAGGCCUGUGAGUCUUCGAGAGGAAAUGUACUCAGGAGCUCUACUUAAGAAACUUACACCCAACAAGCUUCAGCUACACCUGGAUUUGAAUUACAUGACAAGAUUCUGAAUUUUGAGCUGAUGCUAUAAUGGAGGGAAGCCAGUCACCAGGCCAUAAGGAGUCCAGCAGCCCAUGGAGAGGGUCAUGUGGCAAAGAAGCCUUGUAUCAACAUCCACAUGAGUGAGAUUUCCUGGAAGUCCAGCCCAGUCAAGCCUUCAGCUGAUUGCAGCCCCAGCCCACAUCUUGAGAGGAAUCUGAUGGGAGACCCUCAGCCAGAACCAUCUAGCUAAGCCUCUCCCAGGUUCCUGACUCUAGAAACUGUGAGAAAAUAACUUUUUUAUUUUAAAGUACUGCAUUUGGGGGUGAUUUUUUAAUAAAGCAAUAUUUCUUUUUUGGUAACACAGGGUUUUUAAUAUGAACUUCCUGUUGAAAGCAAAUGCAGCCAUGAGGAUUUGGCUACUGAAUUUAACAACAGGGAGCAAAUCAAGUACUUCAUGGUUGAUUUUUAUGAAGCCAUGGAUGACUACCCACCUGCCAUAGAAGUACAAACCAAUUUUGAAGUUCCAUAUUGUAACAGAGGGAUUGGGGUUUUUUUUUCUUUUUUUUUAAUUAAAGUAUCAUUAAUAUACAAUCUUAUGUUGGUUUCAAAUGUACAUCACAGUGGUUCAGCAGCUCCUGAGACCAACUUAUGAUUACGAAUUA